rnacentral:rRNA from 1 species
GAUGAACGCUGGCGGCGUGCUUAACACAUGCAAGUCGAACGAAGCACCUUGAUUUGAUUCUUCGGAUGAAGAUCCUGGUGACUGAGUGGCGGACGGGUGAGUAACGCGUGGGUAACCUGCCUCAUACAGGGGGAUAACAGUUAGAAAUGACUGCUAAUACCGCAUGAGACCACAGCACCGCAUGGUGCAGGGGUAAAAACUCCGGUGGUAUGAGAUGGACCCGCGUCUGAUUAGGUAGUUGGUGGGGUAACGGCCUACCAAGCCGACGAUCAGUAGCCGACCUGAGAGGGUGACCGGCCACAUUGGGACUGAGACACGGCCCAAACUCCUACGGGAGGCAGCAGUGGGGAAUAUUGCACAAUGGGGGAAACCCUGAUGCAGCGACGCCGCGUGAGCGAUGAAGUAUUUCGGUAUGUAAAGCUCUAUCAGCAGGGAAGAAAAUGACGGU